rnacentral:lncRNA from 1 species
GAAGAUGUAGAACUCUCACCUCCUCCAGCAUCAUGCCUGCCUGGAUGCUGCCAUGCUUCCUGCCUUGAUGAUACUGGACUGAACCUCAGAAUCUGUAAGCCAGCCCCAAUUAAACGUUUCUUAUAAGAAUUGCCUUGGUCAUGAUAUCUCUUCACAGCAAUGGAAACCCUAACUAAGACAGCUUCUUCUUAUAUUUCUAAAGUGGCUAUAUAUAUAUUUAUAAAGAACUUGUGUGUGUGUGUGUGUGUGUGUGUUCUAUAAAUACCGAGACUUUUCAUACAUGUUGGCCACAUGUGAUCAACUUUACUUUCUCUACCUCUGGACUCUAUUACUCAGUAAAUGGAUUCUUCUAGCCUUCCUGGCUACUUUUGAGUAACAUGGUGUCCAGUGUGUGAGUAAUUUUGUAUUCCUCUUGCUAAAUCCCAAGCCAUCAGUUUUUAUUAUAUAAAGUUAAGCCCUCAAGAAAUAUUUUCAUUAUGCUAACAUCAGUUAAGAGUUUACUUCCUUUAAUGCUGUAAAUUAAGAGAGGAUUUAAUGUCCCCUCUUACCCUAGUCACAAUUAAAUGAAUGUCAUAAAAACUGGGCCAUUCCUGGAAUGUUCACAACUUACAAGGCUAAAGGUGUCACUGCCUUCAUGACAACCAUCUCCAUGGCAAUUUAUGGAGAGGAAGGCAAUGCUGAUUCCGGUCAGGUUUCACCCGUCCACUUAAAACUUUCUUCUUGCUUCUUGGUAAUUGUCCCCAUUGCAUUUCCUGAAGCUCUUCGAUAUCUGAUCUGUUCACCACAGAGUGUUAUUUUUAUUGCCAUAUAAAAUGGAAAACAUUUUUGAAUUAUAAUUGGAAUACCUGUCUGGAUUCCCAUUUGAUACCAAAUAAUUUAACCCUGGCUAAUAAGGCACAUGUACCCCCCAAUUUUCCCAUGGAAAGGUUUAUCCUGCCUCUAAGCCCUUUUCCAGCUGACAGAAAGAAAGGCAGACCCCAUCCCUGCUGGAUCUCACACCCUGCACUACUAUGCAAUGCAGAAACCUCUGGAAACAAAGGCACUUCAAACACUGCUGUUGAGAAAGUGUCUGACUGGCCACAUACCGUUUCUAAGACAAAUGAUUUCCAAUCUGUUGCUUUAUUCUAGGUAAGUAAAAAUAGAGUGAAUCCACUGGGGGGAGAAAGGGAGGGAGGGAGGGAGGGAGGGAGGGAGGGAGGGAGGGAGGGAGGGAGACAGAAGGCAGAGAGAGGGGUAUUAAGAAAUAAAGAAAGCAGAGAAAGAGAGAGAAAGAACAGAGAAAGAAAAAAGGAAAGGAAGGAAGGAAGGAAGGAAGGAAGGAAGGAAGGAAGGAAGGAAGGAAGGAAGGAAGGCAGACUCUUAGUUGUGCUCCACUGAAGGAUUAUGGGUAAUCUCUGGAAAUCUGACUGGGACUAGUAACAAUGACUGGGCUGUGGGCAGGGUGCUUGCAAACAUAAAAAUAAAAAGGAUGAGAUACUGACACUGUGGUUCUAGACCAGGCAUGAGACUUAGUGGUACAGAGUUUGUGGAGCAUGUGUGAAACUCUGGCUUCAAUCCAACACUGUGAAACAAUAUCUGUAGUAACUAUAUAAGUGAUAAUAUAUAGUCAUCCAGAGUGACAAGACAAAAAAUUUUCCAGCUGAUUUUAUUUUUAUUUUUAUUGGUUAUUUGUUUACAUUUCAAAUGUCAAUCCCCUUCCCAGUUUCCCCUCCACAAGACUCCUAUCCCCUCCUCCCUCCCACUGCCUCUAUAAGGGUGCUCCCCUACCCACCCACCCACUCCUGCCUCAGCAGCCUAGCAUUCCCUUAUCCUCUUUGUAUAUUUCAGCAAAACCAGACUCCUUCCAAAAUCUUAGAAACACAUAUAAGAAGAAGAAGAAGAAGAAGAAGAAGAAGAAGCAUAGAUUCAAGUUAACUGAAAUAUAAUUAUUUCCCAUUGAGACCCAAGUGGAGAUGUGCGGGACUGAGUGGUGCUUACAGAAGAAAUCCCAGUUUCUUCCACUAGCACUGCAACAAAAUAUCAAAAUUGUGGCUGGCUCAACUCAGCUGUUCUGGCUCAAACUCCUCUCCAAGCUGACUGAUUCAAUUUGGCUUCUCUCAGCUUUUGACUGGAUUGUUCUGCUUGGAAAGACUGCCUUUCAACUCCACAAACUCCACUGAACUAAACAGCUCUGAACCAAACUGAGCAAAACUGAAUUGAACUGAACAGAACUGAACUGAACUGAACUGAACUGAACUGAACUGAACUGAACUGAACUGAACUGAACUGAACUCUCUCUCCCUCACUACUCUUUAAGUAGCCUCUCUUUCCUCUCUG